rnacentral:sRNA from 2 species
AUUCUGAGUUUGCCGAAACUUCCCAAGUCAUGAGAAGUGCGGGGGAUGACCGAUGGUGUAAGGCUUAUGCUAGCCACCUGGGGUGAAUCACACAUAAAUGCUGCGUAGGGUUGUAUCCUCAAUCCGAACCCGACAACUAACCUCGUAGGUAAAAAAAAGGAGCGAU